AGCAGGCGCGCAGGAACGCGCUCCGCCGUGGAGUACGGACAAGAGGGGGAAUCCGGUGGAAUACCGGAGCUAGCCCGUAACUGUGAACCCUUGGCGUGCGCCGGUCCUGAUCCGGCCUCAGUCAGCACGAGGGGUGAGCCAGAAUACCCUGCCCGUCCAUACAUCGCACC
rnacentral:ncRNA from 2 species